GCUAGGAUGAACGCUAGCGGCAGGCUUAACACAUGCAAGUCGAGGGGCAGCGGGAUGUAGCAAUACAUUGCCGGCGACCGGCGGAUGGGUGCGUAACGCGUAUGCAACCUACCUUAUACAGGGGAAUAACCUUUCGAAAGGGAGACUAACACCCCAUAGUAUUGAUUUAAGGCAUCUUAGAUUAAUUAAAUAUUUAUAGGUAUAAGAUGGGCAUGCGUAUGAUUAGCUAGUUGGUAAGGUAACGGCUUACCAAGGCGACGAUCAUUAGGGGUUCUGAGAGGAAGGUCCCCCACACUGGUACUGAGACACGGACCAGACUCCUACGGGAGGCAGCAGUGAGGAAUAUUGGUCAAUGGGCGCAAGCCUGAACCAGCCAUGCCGCGUGCAAGGAAGACGGCCUUAUGGGUUGUAAACUGCUUUUACAUAAGACUAACCGUAUAUUUGCGAAUAUACCUGAAUGUAUUAUGAGAAUAAGGAUCGGCUAACUCCGUGCCAGCCGCAGC
rnacentral:rRNA from 1 species